UGUGAAGUUACUUAAACAACCAGGAGGUUGGCUUAGAAGCAGCCAUCCUUUAAAGAAAGCGUAAUAGCUCACUGGUCUAGUGAUUUUGCGCGGAAAAUAUAACGGGGCUAAAGUAAGUACCGAAGCUGUAGACUUAGUUUACUAAGUGGUAGGAGAGCGUUCUAUUUGCGUCGAAGGUAUACCGGUAAGGAGUGCUGGAGCGAAUAGAAGUGAGCAUGCAGGCAUGAGUAGCGAUAAUUAAUGUGAGAAUCAUUAACGCCGUAAACCCAAGGUUUCCUACGCGAUGCUCGUCAUCGUAGGGUUAGUCGGGUCCUAAGUCGAGUCCGAAAGGGGUAGACGAUGGCAAAUUGGUUAAUAUUCCAAUACCAACAUUAGUGUGCGAUGGAAGGACGCUUAGGGCUAAGGGGGCUAGCGGAUGGAAGUGCUAGUCUAAGGUCGUAGGAGGUUAUACAGGCAAAUCCGUAUAACAAUACUCCGAGAACUGAAAGGCUUUUUGAAGUCUUCGGAUGGAUAGAAGAACCCCUGAUGCCGUCGAGCCAAGAAAAGUUUCUAAGUUUAGCUAAUGUUGCCCGUACCGUAAACCGACACAGGUGGGUGGGAUGAGUAUUCUAAGGCGCGUGGAAGAACUCUCUUUAAGGAACUCUGCAAAAUAGCACCGUAUCUUCGGUAUAAGGUGUGGUUAGCUUCGUACUAGGAUUUACUCCGAAAGCGAAGAAACUUACAACAAAGAGUCCCUCCCGACUGUUUACCAAAAACACAGCACUCUGCUAACUCGUAAGAGGAUGUAUAGGGUGUGACGCCUGCCCGGUGCUCGAAGGUUAAUUGAUGGGGUUAGCAUUAGCGAAGCUCUUGAUCGAAGCCCGAGUAAACGGCGGCCGUAACUAUAACGGUCCUAAGGUAGCGAAAUUCCUUGUCGGUUAAAUACCGACCUGCAUGAAUGGCGUAACGAGAUGGGAGCUGUCUCAAAGAGGGAUCCAGUGAAAUUGUAGUGGAGGUGAAAAUUCCUCCUACCCGCGGCAAGACGGAAAGACCCCGUGGACCUUUACUACAGCUUGACACUGCUACUUGGAUAAGAAUGUGCAGGAUAGGUGGGAGGCUUUGAGUAUAUGACGCCAGUUGUAUAUGAGCCAUUGUUGAGAUACCACUCUUUCUUAUUUGGGUAGCUAACCAGCUUGAGUUAUCCUCAAGUGGGACAAUGUCUGGUGGGUAGUUUGACUGGGGCGGUCGCCUCCCAAAUAAUAACGGAGGCUUACAAAGGUUGGCUCAGAACGGUUGGAAAUCGUUCGUAGAGUAUAAAGGUAUAAGCCAGCUUAACUGCAAGACAUACAAGUCAAGCAGAGACGAAAGUCGGUCUUAGUGAUCCGGUGGUUCUGUGUGGAAGGGCCAUCGCUCAAAGGAUAAAAGGUACCCCGGGGAUAACAGGCUGAUCUCCCCCAAGAGCUCACAUCGACGGGGAGGUUUGGCACCUCGAUGUCGGCUCAUCGCAUCCUGGGGCUGGAGCAGGUCCCAAGGGUAUGGCUGUUCGCCAUUUAAAGCGGUACGCGAGCUGGGUUCAGAACGUCGUGAGACAGUUCGGUCCCUAUCUGCCGUGGGCGUAAGAAGAUUGAAGAGAUUUGACCCUAGUACGAGAGGACCGGGUUGAACAAACCACUGGUGUAGCUGUUGUUCUGCCAAGAGCAUCGCAGCGUAGCUAAGUUUGGAAAGGAUAAACGCUGAAAGCAUCUAAGCGUGAAGCCAACUCUAAGAUGAAUCUUCUCUAAGCUCUCUAGAAGACUACUAGUUUGAUAGGCUGGGUGUGUAAUGGAUGAAAGUCCUUUAGCUGACCAGUACUAAUAGAGCGUUUGGCUUAUCUUU
rnacentral:rRNA from 1 species